AACGAACGUUGGCGGCGUGGAUUAGGCAUGCAAGUCGAGCGAAUCCCAGCAAUGGGGGAAGCGGCGAAAGGGGCAGUAAGGCAUGGGUAACCUACCCUGGGGACUGGGAUAGCCCUUCGAGAGAAGGGGUAAUACCGGGCGACGUGUCGGGCCGGCAUCGGUCUGCCACCAAAUGAAUUUCGCCCUGGGAGGGGCCCAUGUGAUAUUAGCUAGUUGGUGGGGUAACGGCCCACCAAGGCGAAGAUGUCUAGCGGGUGUGAGAGCACGACCCGCGCCACUGGCACUGAGACACUAGCCAGACACCUGCGGGUGGCUGCAGUCGAGGAUCUUCGGCAAUGGGCGCAAGCCUGACCGAGCGACGCCGCGUGUGCGAUGAAGGCCUUCGGGUUGUAAAGCACUGUCGAGAGGGAGAAAAGCGCAAGCUUGAUCUAUCUCUGGAGGAAGCACGGGCUAAGUUCGUGCCAGCCGCCGCGGUAAUAC
rnacentral:rRNA from 1 species